GAUGAACGCUGACAGAAUGCUUAACACAUGCAAGUCGAUGGGGAAGUGGUGCUUGCCCCAUGGCAACCAUGGCGGACGGGUGAGUAACGCGUAAGGGACUUACCUGCAGGACUGGGAUAACAGGGGGAAACUCCUGACAAGACCGGAUAAUGUCAUGGAGCUGCAUGGCUUUAUGAUGAAAGGAGACGCCUGCGGAGAGCCUUGCGUCCUAUUAGCUAGUUGGUGAGGUAAUGGCUCACCAAGGCGAAGAUAGGUAGCCGGCCUGAGAGGGUGGACGGCCACAAGGGGACUGAGAUACGGCCGUUACUCCUACGGGAGGCAGCAGUGGGGAAUAGUGGACAAUGGGGGCAACCCUGAUCCAGCAAUUCUGUGUGCACGAAGAAGGUUUUCGGAUUGUAAAGUGCUUUCAGCAGGGAAGAAGUAAGUGACGGUACCUGCAGAAGAAGCGACGGCUAAAUACGUG
rnacentral:rRNA from 1 species